GGGGCUGAUGUGGUUUCGACUUCGCGCAUUAAGCCAGGGGAAGCGUGCCGGUGCAGGCUAGAGACCACCGUAAGCGUCGUAGCAACUGAUAAGCGCCGAGAAAACCUCUCAGCGUGACUACGCCCUCGCUGCCUAAUUCAGCGACCGCGUGUCUGUCGGCCCCAGGAUUGUUCCCGUUCUGGGCGCCGGCAUCGACUUAGGGAACUAGCCUUUCCGCCGAGUUAGCGGGGCGGGAAGGGACUUCAUACCGUUAACUGGGCUCAUCAUCUGGACACGUUCGCCUGAUCCAGAGGGUCGAGGAAAGAUAGCGCGCGAACUGCGCACGGAGAAGCCCUGGCAAGAUGUCGGAGGACCCGGGUUCAAUUCCCGGCAGCUCCACAA
rnacentral:tmRNA from 1 species